GGCCCCCGGUGCCGCCGCAGCGCUGGACGGGGGCCGUGGGAGCCGGGCGGUAAUUGCCUGCUUGACGUCCGCGAGAUGCGAAGCGUGGCUGAAAAGCAAGCCUGGAGUGCCCUUCAGGAGGUCAACCUGAAAAAGGCUGGAAAUUGCCCCUUAAAAGUGCUGCUUCAGAGCGACAGUGCUGUGCAGGGGAAGAGUGGGGAUGAAAGAACAAAAGGAAUGGAUGCUGGAUAGUUCCCAAAGAGAAUUGUUUCCUGGUUAUGUCAGGCUCACUUUUUACCUGAAUGUAUUCCUCAACCACAGCAUCAUAACAAACACAGAUCAUUGCAGGCAAGUUGGAGUGAGCCAUUUCAGAUUUUCAAAACAUGCUGCAGCUAGUGGAAAUCUUGGGGUAAGCAGUGCUUCAAACAUUCUAUCAACAGAUUACAGCAAAAAGGCUCCUUUUCUAGAAAACCAUUCUUCAAAAGAGCAGAGUGCAGCAGCAUGCUUCAGCCUCCAGGAUUCACACCACUAGCUUUA